GCUCCGGCUAACGAGUCGAGCUGACGGCCCUCGCUUCUACCAAAGGUAGCUCCAGCUAACGAGUCGAGCUGACGGCCCUCGCCUCUACCGAAGGUAGCUCCAGCUAACGAGUCGAGCUGACGGCCCUCGCUUCUACCAAAGGUAGCUCCGGCUAACGAGUCGAGCUGACGGCCCUCGCUUCUACCAAAGGUAGCUCCAGCUAACGAGUCGAGCUGACGGCCUUCGCUUCUGCCGAAGGUAGCUCCAGCUAACGAGUCGAGCUGACGGCCAUCGCUUCUACCAAAGGUAGCUCCAGCUAACGAGUCGAG